UCUCCUUAAAUCAAGGGUUAAAGGGUAAGUGGUGUACAGUAAUAGAAACCAAGUGUGCUUGGGAACCAGACUUGAAAAGUGCGGGAAGGAGGGGUCUACUCGGAUACCACACUCCAGUGCCACAGCGGAGACCGAAAGAAGCAUAUAAAUGAGAUGCUGAGCCAACUGAAGUUGCCCAUCUGCUACACCACACAGCAUUCCAGGACCUUUCAAAAGCUGCAAAGGACAAGUCAAAUGCAACAAAAUGCCAUUCUGGACUUUCUCACACAAGAAUCUGAGAGAGAACAUCAAUGACAGAGAGAGAGAGACCGAGGCCAAAACAGGGAGUGUCACACUAUGGUGACACAGAAGCAGACACCUGAGCUGGGCGGAGCUACUGGAAUCCUGCAGCUGUUCUUCAUUAGCACCCUUUAUUAGCCUCUCCGCUUCUCCUGGCCAGCGCUGGAUUAUUCCUUCUAUCAGCUCCUUCUGCCGCAUGUUUGUUCU